UCCCCGUUGCCGGGGCAGUCUAUUCAGAAAAAUCCAACUGAAUACAAGGGUUGCGCUCGUUGAUGGACUUAACCAAACAUCUCACGACACGAGCUGACGACGGCCAUGCAACACCUGUCACCGAGUUCCUUACGGCACAGUUUCCUUUCGGAAGCCUUCUCGGGAUGUCAAACCCUGGUAAGGUUCUUCGCUUACCUUCGAAUUAAAGAACACGCUCCACCGCUUGUGCGGGUCCCCGUCAAUUCCUUUAUGUUUUAGUCUUGCGACCGUACUCCACAGGCGGGAUGCUUAACGCGUUAGCUUCGCUACUAACCGGGUCGAUACGGUUAACAACUAGCAUCCAUCGUUUACGGCGUGGACUAC
rnacentral:misc_RNA from 1 species